rnacentral:rRNA from 1 species
CCUACGGGAGGCAGCAGUGAGGAAUAUUGGUCAAUGGGCGCGAGCCUGAACCAGCCAAGUAGCGUGAAGGAUGACUGCCCUACGGGUUGUAAACUUCUUUUAUAAAGGAAUAAAGUGAGGCACGUUUGCCUUAUUGUCUGUACUUUAUGAAUAAGGAUCGGCUAACUCCGUGCCAGGAGCCGAGGUAAUACGGAGGAUCCGUGCGUUAUCCGGAUUUAUUGGGUUUAAGGGGAGCGUAGAUGGGUUGUUAAGUCAGUUGUGAAAGUUGGCGGCUCAACCGUCAAAUUGCAGUUGAUACUGGCAGCCUUGAGUACAGUAGAGGUAGGCGGAAUUCGUGGUGUAGCGGUGAAAUGCUUAGAUAUCACGAAGAACACCGAUGGCGAAGGCAGCCUACUAAACUGCCACUGACAUUGAUGCUCGAAAGUGUGGGUAUCAAACAGGAUUAGAUACCCGAGUAGUC